rnacentral:lncRNA from 1 species
GUGAAGAACAUGCAAUUUUAUAUUUCUUGCCAAUUGAAUUUAAGUACCUAUUUAAGACGUAAUGUAUUGAAAUGAAUAAAAACACUAAUGUCAAUUCCAUUAUAAAGAGCAAUAUUAUUAUUCUGAAUAAGCAUCACAACCCGAUCUCAAUAAUAACUAACAAUUAUAAAAGUUUGGUAUAAAUAAUGUACUUUUUUUGACUUGGCCUAUUAAAUAGAUAAGUAUUUAGGAAAACUAAUAAUAUUAUUAAUAAGCAGCCGUUGGAGAUGGCCUUGCACCACCACUUGCACACAAGAGAGGAGGGCCGGGGGCGGUCGUUUUUUCCUCGGACAAUACUCCGGCAGCGGUCUUGAUGUCAUAGUUUCUCUAUAGAGCUUGGAGGAUGCUCUUGUUGGCCCAAUCUGAUUAAGCGCACGGGUGCAUAUAUAGCAGCAGCAAGUAAGCUAGGCGAAUACGGAUACGAUAGCUUGAAUCCUACUGUGGCUAGAUGACGGAUAUGAAAACAAAAACGGUUUUGAACGCAAAAAAAUAAAAUAAAUCUGUUUUCCUAUUUCUCAUUUAGCUUGGAAAUAGUUUGGGCUCAUUCACUUAAUUAACCGUCAGAUUUAGCACGUAGUGAUUAUGGCAGGAGGAUUAACGUCCAGAUUUUUUGUAUAGGAAAAUUAAGUGUUGUAUAUCCUUGUUUGUACGGGAGCUUCACAAAAAAUAUGUAUAGUUUAAUUUUAUGAGCUAUUGAUAGUUUUCUAA